GGAGAUCGAAUGGCGGUUGGAAUGUAAUUCAAUGCAACCUUCCAGACCAGAGGGGGCCAUUAUACCAUGCUGAGGGAGGAGGUCGUUUGGGCAUUGCUGUUAUUGUCUGGAGUUGCUGGAGUAAGAUUAACAAUCAUGCAAACGCCCCCGCGGGUCACUGUUACCGAA